GAUGAACGCUGGCGGCGUGCUUAACACAUGCAAGUCGAACGUGAGGGUGUAGCAAUAUGCCUGAAAGUGGCGAACGGGUGAGUAACACGUAGACGACCUGCCCUGGAGUGGGGGAUAACCAUUGGAAACGGUGGCUAAUACCACAUACAUCCAUACUUCUGGGAAGAGAUGUGGGGAAAGCUCUGGUGCUCUGGGAGGGGUCUGCGUCCGAUUAGCUAGUUGGUGAGGUAAAGGCUCACCAAGGCGACGAUCGGGAGCUGGUCUGAGAGGACGAUCAGCCACACGGGAACUGAGACACGGUCCCGACUCCUACGGGGGGCAGCAGUGAGGAAUAUUGGGCAAUGGGCGAGAGCCUGACCCAGCAACGCCGCGUGGAGGAAGACGGCCUUCGGGUUGUAAACUCCUUUUGACAGGGAAGAGAGAGGACGGUACCUGUCGAAUAAGUCACGGCUAACUACGUGCCAGCAGCCGCCGUAAGAC
rnacentral:rRNA from 1 species